ensembl:lncRNA
GCCCUAAGUUAUUUCAAGAACUUUUUUAUAUCCAAAACACUUGUUUUUUUUAUAUUUCACCACUUACUCUCCUCAUUAAGUUAUACUUUUACCUGAUAAUAACAAAUAGCUUUUCCAGUGAAUGAAUUUCAGAAGACUGGUGCCUAUGAAGAGCAGUUGUGCCUUACGAAACUGCAGCAAUAAAGUCUCUUCUCUCCAAGUAAAUGUGCCUCAAACGUUCCUCCUUCUCAGGGUAACUGAACAGCUAUAGGCAGGUCACAUUCUCUCUGCCUCAUUUUUCUCUUAUGCUAACUUUCCAGGUGACACAUACAAAUAGGAUGAGAGUCUAGAUUGCUUAAUGCACAACUUUGAACCAGGUGUUUGAUAACAGAGAGAGUGUCGCCUGGUAUUGUGCAGAACCAGGGUAGAACGAGCAGCUUUGUUUCUUUUAACUUUCCAUAAAAUCUAAAAACCCAGCAACUAUCUUGACUAAUUGAUUUCUCCUUGAUGCGACUCAAAGGCCUUUGAUUUGUUCUUCUUGAGUGUCCGCAUCUUUCUGCAAAGACAAAUACAUUUUAAUGGUGGUGCUUUUCCAGUGCUCCCUCCAGUUUGGAGAUGAACCUUGCAAGUCUUUCUGUGCUGAUGUGGAUGAUCAGAAUGGGGAGCACGGAGGUGGCUUUGUAUCUGUACCUAAUCUUAAUGCAGCAGGAUCCUGGUUUGUGACUGAGGUUCCUAAAAAAAAGACUCAUCUAAUGCUGAAGCAGCUCAGCUGGAAAUGGUUUGGGGAAUCUUGGAAUGGAUCAAAACAGACCACAAUGGUUAGAAACAUCUCUGAGCAAGUAAGGAGACAUCAGGAAACUUGUAGCAGAAUGGACUGAAACUGAAUAGGUCUGAGAAUCAGGGAUUAGGGAUGGCAGCUCAGAUCUAUUUAGGUGAACAGAAUAGUUCAGGGAGGCUGAUACGGUUAAGAUAGCUCAGGAUAAGGUAGGCUAGCAUUGUAGUGUUAGGACAGUGAGCUGAGAAAAGAAAUUGCCUCUGUGUGCUAAUGAAUGCACUAAGAGCUUGUACCAUCCAAGCACAAUGCCCAGCAGAGGGGAGUAACUGAACUGAUUCUAAUGUUUGCAAACUGGUUAAUCGUGCUGCUAGUUAAAGUGGGGCUGUCUUUUAAGGCAUCUCCAAUUAAAUUGAUAUGCCCUAGGACAGCUAACAUUGAGGCUAAGGAGAUCAGGGUGAGACAGCUGAGAAUAAAUAGCCAUAGGCAAGGGUAUUACGAGGUUGUAU